UGCUGAGCUCUGAAGUGCUUCCUCUCCCUCCCAGAAGCCACACAGAGGAUAUAUCUAUUCUUGAAGGAGCACUGAGGCUCUCAGACUUGACCUUUAAAUGUUUUAGGUAUUGUUAACUGUGCCGAUAUUUUUUCCCUAGGCUCUCCAUACACUUGCAGAAGGGAAUUUCAGUCCAUUUGCUGAAGACUAGGCAACCCUUCCGCCUAAUAAAUCCAGAAGCCUCUGCCAGAGAGUGUGACACAGUAGGGGUAUGGACAACCACGUGUGGAUCUCAGGAAAAAAUCAUUAAAGACAUCCCUUAUAAAGCCUCCAUUGUCAGCAGCUCUUUUACCCCUUUCACAUACCUUGGAGGUAUUGGUAUCAACCUGGGAACUACCCCUGGUCCAAGAGGAGGUGGGUAGGAAGAUUCGGAACAAGAUCCCCCAUUUCAGCUGAAAUUGUUUGCCAGUGCUCUGCAUUUGUCUUACAGCUAAAAACCCCUUUUGGUGCAAGUAUUGGAUUUUUGAUGCUACCUGUGGGUUGCCAGGCAGGAUAGGGCUGUGUGAAUUCUGGACAAUUCAAGGAGGCAAGGGAAAUUGAGAAAUUACAGGCUGAGUAGCAGAGGUUUUUCCCUCUGUUUGUUAAGAAAGGUCUUCAAAUCUGACUGUAACAACUGAAAUCUGAGGCGGAUAUGAUUCAAAUCUAUUCUGGGCUUGUUAAACUAUUUUUAAAAAUGCAAAAGCUUUUAUUAGCUUAACACGCUAUUCCAAUCCACACAAGUAAAAUGAAGCGUGUCUUGGUAAUUCUGUCAAGAUUAUGCACAUUUCCCUCCUGACUCACGACCACACUGAUCAUAAUGGCAUUAAUUGAUAUUCAUGUGCAUGCCAUAUUUACUUCUGCAGAGUUCCCAUGUAAUUGAGCAAUAGUUAAUGGGCACUUAGGACUCUAUUCACAGGAGAUUACAAAUGUGUGUGUAUUGGGGAGCUUUUCCCUGUGGAGUUUCCAUGUGUCUGGAUAGGUGCAUAAUCAGUGCUGCAGUCAUCAGACGGAGCAGCUGACACUCGUGGCCCUGGUGAGGGCUGGAGCGAGACAAAUUCUCAGCCCUUCCCAAUUUGGACUGGGGGGAGGGAUGGGGACUGCAGCAGGGGGAGAUGAUUGUGAAUCAGGGCUGAUCAGCAGAGCCAGAGAUGGCAUCCAUGAACAUUCAGAAUGAAUCAUGGCUCCCCUUCAAUAAUCCAAAGCUAUCUCCUUUCUCCCCUUAAGCAAACAAAUCUCUCCUUGUUUUAUUCAUAGGCAACCCCACAGCCUGUGUGAGGCUUCACACUGGUGGGAGAUGUGGCAUCCCUCUCAUCAGCCAAAUGACCUGUUUCCCCUCAGUUUGUCCUUAGACACAGCCAGCCAUUCACAGACAUCUUUCCUGAA
rnacentral:lncRNA from 1 species